UUUGCUGGAGUUUUGUUCUGACUUCUCGCAGUGUGGAAACUCCUACACCAAGAGAUUUGAUCCCGCAUCAGAAUAUCCCCCGCUUCUGGGGCCAGUAUCCGAAACACUGCGGAUAUUUGCUAAUUCUGUGUGUGGGACUGACCCCCAAACUUUUCGUUUUACUCAAAACCCUCCUCAUUAAGGGUGUCAAGGUGUUGGUCAUUUUUCAAAACGAGGUUCGUCUUCACGCAUUAUUAUCGGGAGAAUUUGUGACCGAAGGAGGAAUAUUUACUAUGUAAAUAUUUUACUGAUGAAGCGCUUUCUGCACUUCCUUUUUCAAAAGUUCUUGAGUGGCCUUCUGCGGGAUUAGCUCUCAAAAAGUUCCAUCAGCGGGAUGCGUUACAUAUCAUAUCUUUAGCGGCUGUGCCUCUCUGCCUACGUCAACAGUUGGUAAAAUCCCAACAUCACAGCAGUUGACAUCAACUGGCCAAGCAAGGUUCAAAGCACUGACAGUGUACCUAUGGGGGUUUGCAAGGAAACCAAGACCACGACUUUAUAGUAUCAGUUUCGACAGGAAUGAGCGGAGUUUCAAAGCACAAAUGACACCCAAAGCGGGGGCUCUUCCCCUCUGAAGAACACUGGGGUUGGGAUUUGAAAGAAGGGCCAGCAAAUGGAAAUUCACUCCAUCACACUCCGCACAAAGACUUAAAAAAUGAGCAAGCUCUCUCUCCCCACCUCCCACACUGAGGUGAUCUGUUGAGAUUACCCGCACUACGCAGUAGAGCUAGUUACCAAAUACCCUGCAUAUCCUGUUCCGGCUAAUUUCACUGAGGAGACGUGAAGAGUUAACGAAUUGAUACUCCUCCCGACAAGAAGGGCGGUGUAACAUAAUUACCAAGCGUGGACGAAAAGAUGGUUAUAUCCGAUAGGAGGAUUCAGCGCUCAUCAUAAGUAAGCUAUGAGAAUCUAUCCGCCUGAAACGUGCGUAUGGAAAAGUAGAUA
rnacentral:sRNA from 1 species